AAAUUGCGCAGUUAUUCUAAAUUUUUAGUGACUUUUUUUAAACCCUUUAAAAUUAUAAAAAAUGUCUAUUAUCGAAUUUCAUGAAACUAAUAUUGGCCAAUUGGUUGAAAAUCUGCCGAAAAAUGUACCUCUAACCGACAUUGCAAUAUUUAUGAAUCCUGUUAAGAAAGGAAAUAUUCAUCGUAUUUAUUUGUACCAUCGUGACCAAAUUAAAUUAUUUGGAAAAGCUCUUUGCAACCAAGCGGAACUUGCACAGUUCAAAAAAACUACUCUUUUUCAAAGAGGUUUAAUCAUUUCAUCAAUUAAAUCUAUGACUAAGAAGUUCAUGGAAAAUUUGUUAAGGUCACGACUUUCUAACUAAACAAGAUUUGUGGGAAUAAGUGGAUUAUCGACAUUAUCCACUUAUCUUAAAGCAUUAAAAGCGGCAACAUUAACAAAAAGCAUGCUUCGAUUGUCACAUAUUUUCCAAAAAAGUAUUUUUAAAAAACUUUAUAUUGGAUUAAAUUUUUUUUAUUAUUACAACUUAAUUUUAUGAACAUCACGUCACCAUUGAAAAUUUUUAAAAUAUUGACUAGCUCUUCAAAAUUUCUGGUGUAAAUUUAAGAUUUAAAAAUUUCUUAAUAAAAAGACGUAAUCAUGCGCGAAAGCUUUUUAAAUUUUUUAGAAAAAUUCUCAGUUUGCAAUCAACAUCUGUCGCCUCUUCAGAUUGCAAAGAUAGGCCGCGCGGCAUGGGAUGCUUUGACAGAUAGAGAAAAAUUUUUCUACCAUAACCAAGGAAUGGACAGUGGCGAGGACUCUAUUAUGGAGUGUGGCUCAUGUGGAAAGAAGAAACCGGCUUGUCCAAAGAAGAAGAAAAAGACUUGCCCUAAAAAAAAGCGUAAUCCAUGUGCUAAGAAGAAGAAGCCUAAGUGCAAGAAAAAGCCUAAUCCAUGCAAGAAGAAGAAGAAGCGCCGUCAAAUCUGUUGCUAAAAAUUCAAUAGAUUUCUAUACAAGCUGGAAAAAAAUCGUUCGGUGGGAAUUUAUAUCUCUUGUUCUUCCAGUUUGUACAGUCCACCACAUUAAAUUAAUUUUUUUUAACUUCAGCCUUUAGGCUGUUAGAAAAACCAUUCCAUGGUUGAAUGACAUAUUUGAAUGAUUCCAUCAAAUAUUGUUUAUAUUGCUCCGUUGAUUAGCUCUAAUUUUAAAUCGAAGCAACCUGUGAAAUUAAAAAAAAAGGUUCAGGUCCUUUGUUCGCUGUUUCCUUUACCUCUCAAUCUAAAUUUAAGCAAUUCGUGUAAUCGUGUAUAUUUUUUAAGAUCGUUAAAAUGUAUGUGUAGUGAUUGUCUUGUGAAGACUAUAUAUAUUUACCAGAACUUUAUUGAUGCUGUCCAUGUUGGCAUCAAUUUUUUAUGACGUGUAUUCCCUCUCAAAUGUGACUAUUAUAGAGUAUCUAGAAUAGACUCUUUCAAUGCUAUUUAAAGCAUUAAUCCCUGAAAUGACUAAUUGUUAAUGUUUAAAACGAGUGCAAGUGUUUUCUAAGAAUAAAAACUAAG